rnacentral:snoRNA from 1 species
CACUCCUGGGCAAGUGGUCCUAGGGUGUGUAAGAAAGCAGGCUGACAUGGAGAACAGGUGCACAAAUAAAUCCUCUUUUGCAACCCAGAACUGAUUGUUCAGUAUGAGUUUUGAUACACAAGACAGCUCACA